AGAAAAUUAGCGCGGAUGGUUUUCGCAUCUCCACCUCGAAAGCGGAGAAUUUCCGGCUGGGGGGCCGCUUUCGCCAAUUCUAGUUUGGCAUCGUUUUC
rnacentral:tRNA from 1 species